GGCGGACGGGUGAGUAACACGUGGGCAACCUGCCUGUAAGACUGGGAUAACUUCGGGAAACCGGAGCUAAUACCGGAUAAUCCUUUUCCUCUCAUGAGGAAAAGCUGAAAGACGGUUUACGCUGUCACUUACAGAUGGGCCCGCGGCGCAUUAGCUAGUUGGUGAGGUAACGGCUCACCAAGGCGACGAUGCGUAGCCGACCUGAGAGGGUGAUCGGCCACACUGGGACUGAGACACGGCCCAGACUCCUACGGGAGGCAGCAGUAGGGAAUCUUCCGCAAUGGACGAAAGUCUGACGGAGCAACGCCGCGUGAGUGAUGAAGGUUUUCGGAUCGUAAAACUCUGUUGUUAGGGAAGAACAAGUACAAGAGUAACUGCUUGUACCUUGACGGUACCUAACCAGAGAGCCACGGCUAACUACGUGCCAGCAGCCGCGGUAAUACGUAGGUGGCAAGCGUUGU
rnacentral:rRNA from 2 species